rnacentral:rRNA from 1 species
AACCUCUGCAAUAGGCGAAAGCUUGACAGGGUUAUUCUGAGUGAUUUCCGCUAAGGAAAUCUUUUGGCACCUUGGUGCAGAAUAAGGGGUGGCAAGCUGGUGUCAGCCGCCGCGGUAAUACCAGCACCCCGAGUGGUCGGGACGAUUAUUGGGCCUAAAGCAUCCGUAGCCGGUUCUGCAAGUCUUCCGUAAAUCCACCUGCUCAACAGAUGGGCUGCGGAGGAUACUAUAGAGCUAGGAGGCGGGAGAGGCAAGCGGUAC